rnacentral:sRNA from 1 species
GUCGCAUUUAACGGCCGGUUAACGUUUUCGCGCGAUAACGAUCCUGCGUCCUCCGUCUCUGACGGCGAGUGGCUCCUGUCGCUCUGUUGACGCCUCCCUGUGAAAAACUUCAAAGCCGCCUUCGGGCGGCUUUUUUUUG